UUUAUUCUGUAGACUAUCGACAACCGGUUAUCGAUGGAUCUUAAGCAACCAUCGUCACUAUCGAUUGCUCUAACUAUUGUCGCUUUGUGACUCUUCAAUAACUAUCGCCUCUAUUGAUGGCCAUCCACCUCUAAAUUAUUUGGCAUGUUAGAGUAUUUAAAUAUUGGAAUAUAAAGACUCCUUAUUAAAAUACGUAGAUUAUUGCUUUCUAUAUGCCAGGUCAGGCAUUGACAUUGGCAUUGGCUUUGCUGGAGAUCCAUCCCACUCGCAGGACACUGGGCGAUUUAUGACCGGCCCGGCAAGGAGCACGGCGGGCAUAUCAACUCCGCCAAUGCGCUUGGCUGCGCACAGCACUUAAUGCAAAGCGGAAUUAACCGUAAUGCUGAUCAUCAGGAAUAAAUUACAGUUUCAAUAAAAUGCAACAACAUAAAUACACAAAAAAUGAUGAAACAAACU